UUCUUCGAUAGCAAAGUGGUUUGAGUAUUUGCCUGUUGAGCUAAAGGGUUGCUGGUUCAAUUCCAGCCAGGGAAA
rnacentral:tRNA from 1 species